AGCGGGGUAGAGCAGUUUGGUAGCUCGCAAGGCUCAUAACCUUGAGGUCACGGGUUCAAAUCCUGUCUUCGCAA
rnacentral:tRNA from 1 species